UCGGGAAUAUUGCGCAAUGGAGGAAACUCUGACGCAGUGACGCCGCGUGCAGGAAGAAGGUUUUCGGAUUGUAAACUGCUUUAGACAGGGAAGAAAAAGACAGUACCUGUAGAAUAAGCUCCGGCUAACUACGUGCCAGCAGCCGCGGUAAUACGUAGGGAGCAAGCGUUAUCCGGAUUUAUUGGGUGUAAAGGGUGCGUAGACGGGAAUACAAGUUAGUUGUGAAAUCCCUCGGCUUAACUGAGGAACUGCAACUAAAACUAUAUUUCUUGAGUGCUGGAGAGGAAAGUGGAAUUCCUAGUGUAGCGGUGAAAUGCGUAGAUAUUAGGAGGAACACCAGUGGCGAAGGCGACUUUCUGGACAGUAACUGACGUUGAGGCACGAAAGUGUGGGGAGCAAACAGGAUUAGAUACC
rnacentral:rRNA from 1 species